rnacentral:lncRNA from 1 species
CACCAAACAAGAUAUAAAUAUAAGAAGCAUAAUCUGAAGGCCUGAUCCAAGGUAUCAGACCUGUUUCUGUACUUUGAAUGACGCCAGAGAGGCUUCCUGUGAUUGAUAAAUUGUGAUGUUAUGGUAAAAAUUCACUGUGGACAUGUUUGUGUUUCUGGUUAUUGACAUAAAGUUUUCUUCCUUCCAGCAGGUUGUCAGUCUGGUGUCAUAAAGGCUGGGUGCUGCAGGUCUGAGUCUGAACCUCCACCCAGCAGAAACCCAGCUGGUGGAGACAGGACCAGCUGGUUCAUGGUGGAUCUGAGCAGGACCAGGGCCUCGUCGCAUCCCAGGAGGAAGAAUUCUGAUGUGGCUUCAUCAGCGACUCCAGCAGGAUGGAGAAAUGCCUGAAGACCAGGAGAGCAAAGCUCCAGGUUCCUCCACCUGCUCCUGUCCUGGAAGUGGAUCACUGAGAUGAAGUUCAUCAGCUCAUCCACAACACUGAGGACGGUCCAGAACCCUGCAGAACCAGACCGGAGCUCCUGACUCCAUCCAGGGGAUUUUUCCUGGGAGCAGAAUCUGUAGAAUCUGUUCUCCCAGGAAACACUGAAGACUGGAGUCACAUGACCUCCUUAUCAUUGACCUGUUCAUGUUGUUGUUGUUGUUGCUGGUAAAUAAAAGAAAGAACUGUAGAACUUUUAAAAACAUGCCAUUUUUUAAACCUUCCUGAUGUUUCCACUUAUUUUUGCUUUUAUUCUUGAAGGUUCUGUUGAAGUUUAAUACAUUUUCCGUGAACUCCUGACUUUGUUAGACAUCUGUUUAUGAUUAAUAUCUCUCUUUGCAACACAUUGAUGUUUUUACUGAAGAGAGAACUGAAUAGUGAUAAUGAUUUGUUUAACUUUAUAAUGUAUAUUAGACUCAUGUAAAUCAGUGCAUCAUGAAGACGGGAGCAGAUGGAGGACAAAAGACACACAGGUAUGACAGGCAGUAAAACAAAGUGAAAUAAUUGUGUUUGUAGAAACGUCUGAUCGUCUGAUGGUCAGCACCGCUCAAAUGCAGAAACUGAGGAGAGGCUGUGUGGACUGAGGCGGAGAUGGAGGUGAUGGUAAGUUUUAAUACUCUGAAACUGUAC